rnacentral:rRNA from 1 species
ACAGCAGUGCAGCUUGCAUGCCUGCAGGUCGACGAUUAGAGUUUGAUCCUGGCUCAGAUUGAACGCUGGCGGAAUGCUUUACACAUGCAAGUCGAACGAUGAUUUCUAGCUUGCUAGAAUGAUUAGUGGCGAACGGGUGAGUAAUGUAUCGGAACGUAUCCAAUAAUGGGGGAUAACUAAUCGAAAGGUUGGCUAAUACCGCAUACGCCCUACGGGGGAAAGCAGGGGAUCUUCGGACCUUGCGUUAAUGGAGCGGCCGAUAUCUGAUUAGCUAGUUGGUGAGGUAAAAGCUCACCAAGGCGACGAUCAGUAGCUGGUCUGAGAGGACGACCAGCCACACUGGAACUGAGACACGGUCCAGACUCCUACGGGAGGCAGCAGUGGGGAAUUUUGGACAAUGGGCGAAAGCCUGAUCCAGCCAUUCCGCGUGAGUGAAGAAGGCCUUCGGGUUGUAAAGCUCUUUCGCAAGGGAAGAAACGAUGCAGUCGAAUAAACUGUGUUAAUGACGGUACCUUGAUAAGAAGCACCGGCUAACUACGUGCCAGCAGCCGCGGUAAUACGUAGGGUGCAAGCGUUAAUCGGAAUUACUGGGCGUAAAGCGUGCGCAGGCGGUUUUGUAAGUCAGAUGUGAAAUCCCCGAGCUCAACUUGGGAACUGCGUUUGAAACUACAAGACUAGAAUAUGUCAGAGGGGGGUAGAAUUCCACGUGUAGCAGUGAAAUGCGUAGAGAUGUGGAGGAAUACCAAUGGCGAAGGCAGCCCCCUGGGAUAAUAUUGACGCUCAUGCACGAAAGCGUGGGGAGCAAACAGGAUUAGAUACCCUGGUAGUCCACGCCCUAAACGAUGUCUACUAGUUGUUGGUGGAGUAAAGUCCAUGAGUAACGCAGCUAACGCGUGAAGUAGACCGCCUGGGGAGUACGGUCGCAAGACUAAAACUCAAAGGAAUUGACGGAAUC